GAUCAUGGCUCAGGAGUGAACGCUAGCGACAGGCUAACACAUGCAAGUCGAGGGGCAGCAUAAAAGUAGCAAUACUUUGGUGGCGACCGGCGCACGGGUGAGUAACGCGUAUGCAACCUACCUAUCAGAGGGGAAUAACCCGGCGAAAGUCGGACUAAUACCGCAUAAAACAGGGACACCGCAUGGUGAUAUUUGUUAAAGAAAUUCGCUGAUAGAUGGGCAUGCGUUCCAUUAGGUAGUUGGUGAGGUAACGGCUCACCAAGCCGACGAUGGAUAGGGGAACUGAGAGGUUGGUCCCCCACACUGGUACUGAGACACGGACCAGACUCCUACGGGAGGCAGCAGUGAGGAAUAUUGGUCAAUGGGCGAGAGCCUGAACCAGCCAAGUCGCGUUGAAGGAAGAAGGAUCUAUGGUUCGUAAACUUCUUUUGCAGGGGAAUAAAGUGCAGGACGUGUCCUGUUUUGUAUGUACCCUGAGAAUAAGGAUCGGCUAACUCCGUGCCAGCCGCCGC
rnacentral:rRNA from 1 species